UUAGUUUCGCAGCUUUCAUUUUAUUCUUUUUUUAUUCAUUUUAUUCUAUUCGGCACAGCCACACUGCUACCUGCUCAGCCUUUGGCCACAGAUGUGCUGCAUUGAUAAGGCAGCUUUUGCUUUUGUUGAAUUUCUGCCACACCAGCUAUGAUACAGGUGGCUGUUCCCCUGGUUGGCGCUCUAGUUACACCCAGUGAGCCAUUAUGGAUGACCACUCAUCCCCCCAAUCCUUCCCCAACCUCCACCACCAUCGCCACCGCCCAUCCUUUCACCUCACUUUGCCCAGCCAUCAAAGCCCAGAAGUGGGGUACCCGUCCCCUCAGCCGGCCCUGGACCCUAUGGAGCAAUAUGGAAGCAGAAGAGAAGAAUCCAUAAACUCCUUC